rnacentral:rRNA from 1 species
CGUACACUCCUGCGGGAGGCAGCAGUGGGGAAUAUUGGACAAUGGGCGCAAGCCUGAUCCAGCCAUGCCGCGUGAGUGAUGAAGGCCCUAGGGUUGUAAAGCUCUUUCACCGGUGAAGAUAAUGACGGUAACCGGAGAAGAAGCCCCGGCUAACUUCGUGCCAGCAGCCGCGGUAAUACGAAGGGGGCUAGCGUUGUUCGGAUUUACUGGGCGUAAAGCGCACGUAGGCGGACUAUUAAGUCAGGGGUGAAAUCCCGGGGCUCAACCCCGGAACUGCCUUUGAUACUGGUAGUCUUGAGUUCGAGAGAGGUGAGUGGAAUUCCGGGUGUAGAGGUGAAAUUCGUAGAUAUUCGGAGGAACACCAGUGGCGAAGGCGGCUCACUGGCUCGAUACUGACGCUGAGGUGCGAAAGCGUGGGGAGCAAACAGGAUUAGAAACCCCGGUAGUCCCAUGA